UGAUGUUCUCAGGGCGGGGUGCAAUUCCCCACCGGCGGUAUCGGGACUUGUCCCGGAGCCCGCGAGCGCUUCCGGUCUCCAAAGCCGGAAGGUCAGCAGAUCCGGUGAGAGGCCGGAGCCGACGGUAUAGUCCGGAUGGAAGAGGACAAGG
rfam:Spinacia oleracea cultivar SynViroflay scaffold54811.con0020.1, whole genome shotgun sequence.